UGAAUAAUAACGUGAUUAAGCAAUGUCAAAUUGCGAUGAAUCAGUGCAUACGUAAAAAAUAUAUAUAUGGCAUAACAUAAUCCCGUUCAUGUUGCAUGCAAUAGGGCGGAGAUAGAGCGUAUAUGCUGGGACCCGAAAGAUGGUGAACUAUACCUGAGCAGGAUGAAGCCAGAGGAAACUCUGGUGGAGGUCCGAAGCGAUUCUGACGUGCAAAUCGAUCGUCUGACUUUGAUAUGGGGCGAAAGACUAAUCGAACUACCUAGUAGCUGG
rnacentral:ncRNA from 1 species